rnacentral:rRNA from 1 species
CCUACGGGUGGCAGCAGUGAGGAAUAUUGGUCAAUGGGCGAGAGCCUGAACCAGCCAAGUCGCGUGAGGGAGUACUGCCCUAUGGGUGGUAAACCUCUUUUGUCGGGGAGCAAAAGCCGGACGUGUCCGGCUGUGAGAGUACCCGAAGAAAAAGCAGCGGCUAACUCCGUGCCAGCAGCCGCGGUAAUACGGAGGAUGCGAGCGUUAUCCGGAUUUAUUGGGGUUAAAGGGGGCGCGGGCGGAUUUUUAAGUCAGCGGUCCACUCGUGGGGCUCAACCCCAUCCGGCCGUUGAAACUGGGGAUCUAGAGUGUGCGAGCGUUAUGCGGAAUGCGUGGUGUAGCGGUGAAAUGCAU